UACGUAGGGUGCGAGCGUUGUCCGGAAUUAUUGGGCGUAAAGAGCUCGUAGGCGGCUCGUUGCGUCGGCUGUGAAAACCCGCAGCUCAACUGUGGGCUUGCAACCGAUACGGGCGGGCUGGAGUUCGGUAGGGGAGACUGGAAUUCCUGGUGUAGCGGUGAAAUGCGCAGAUAUCAGGAGGAACACCGGUGGCGAAGGCGGAUCUCUGGGCCUUACCUGACGCUGGAGGCGCGAAAGCUAGGGGAGCGAACAGG
rnacentral:rRNA from 1 species